GACGAACGCUGGCGGCGUGCUUAACACAUGCAAGUCGAACGGAAAGGCCCUGCUUUUGUGGGGUGCUCGAGUGGCGAACGGGUGAGUAACACGUGAGUAACCUGCCCUUGACUUUGGGAUAACUUCAGGAAACUGGGGCUAAUACCGGAUAGGAGCUCCUGCUGCAUGGUGGGGGUUGGAAAGUUUCGGCGGUUGGGGAUGGACUCGCGGCUUAUCAGCUUGUUGGUGGGGUAGUGGCUUACCAAGGCUUUGACGGGUAGCCGGCCUGAGAGGGUGACCGGCCACAUUGGGACUGAGAUACGGCCCAGACUCCUACGGGAGGCAGCAGUGGGGAAUAUUGCACAAUGGGCGGAAGCCUGAAGCAGCAACGCCGCGUGCGGGAUGACGGCCUUCGGGUUGUAAACCGCUUUCGCCUGUGACGAAGCGUGAGUGACGGUAAUGGGUAAAGAAGCACCGGCUAACUACGUG
rnacentral:rRNA from 1 species